rnacentral:rRNA from 1 species
UACGUAGGGUGCGAGCGUUAAUCGGAAUUACUGGGCGUAAAGCGUGCGCAGGCGGUUUUGCAAGCCGGAUGUGAAAUCCCCGGGCUUAACCUGGGAAUGGCAUUUGGGACUGCAAGGCUGGAGUGCGGCAGAGGAGACUGGAAUUCCUGGUGUAGCAGUGAAAUGCGUAGAUAUCAGGAGGAACACCGAUGGCGAAGGCAGGUCUCUGGGCUGACACCGACGCUCAUGCACGAAAGCGUGGGGAGCAAACAGG